AGAGUUUGAUCCUGGCUCAGAUUGAACGCUAGCGGGAUGCUUUACACAUGCAAGUCGAACGGCAGCACGAGAGAGCUUGCUCUCUUGGUGGCGAGUGGCGGACGGGUGAGUAAUAUAUCGGAACGUGCCCAGUAGCGGGGGAUAACUACUCGAAAGAGUGGCUAAUACCGCAUACGCCCUACGGGGGAAAGGGGGGGAUCGCAAGACCUCUCACUAUUGGAGCGGCCGAUAUCGGAUUAGCUAGUUGGUGGGGUAAAGGCUCACCAAGGCAACGAUCCGUAGCUGGUUUGAGAGGACGACCAGCCACACUGGGACUGAGACACGGCCCAGACUCCUACGGGAGGCAGCAGUGGGGAAUUUUGGACAAUGGGGGAAACCCUGAUCCAGCCAUCCCGCGUGUAUGAUGAAGGCCUUCGGGUUGUAAAGUACUUUUGGCAGAGAAGAAAAGGCAUCCCCUAAUACGGGAUGCUGCUGACGGUAUCUGCAGAAUAAGCACCGGCUAACUACGUGCCAGCAGCCGCGGUGAUACGUAGGGUGCAAGCGUUAAUCGGAAUUACUGGGCGUAAAGCGUGUGUAGGCGGUUCGGAAAGAAAGAUGUGAAAUCCCAGGGCUCAACCUUGGAACUGCAUUUUUAACUGCCGAGCUAGAGUAUGUCAGAGGGGGGUAGAAUUCCACGUGUAGCAGUGAAAUGCGUAGAUAUGUGGAGGAAUACCGAUGGCGAAGGCAGCCCCCUGGGAUAAUACUGACGCUCAGACACGAAAGCGUGGGGAGCAAAAAGGAUUAGAUACCCUGGUAGUCCACG
rnacentral:rRNA from 1 species